UAGUAUCGGAACGUGCCCAGUCGUGGGGGAUAACUGCUCGAAAGAGCAGCUAAUACCGCAUACGACCUGAGGGUGAAAGCGGGGGAUCGCAAGACCUCGCGCGAUUGGAGCGGCUGAUAUCAGAUUAGGUAGUUGGUGAGGUAAAGGCUCACCAAGCCGACGAUCUGUAGCUGGUCUGAGAGGACGACCAGCCACACUGGGACUGAGACACGGCCCAG
rnacentral:rRNA from 1 species